UUAAUCGGCUUUGGCAUUGCGCAUGCGGACCGUCAGCCGAUUAAAUCGGCAGCUGGCAGUUCUACGGUUAAUAAACAUACAGAAUGGCAUGCAGGAGUGGGAGAUUUUGAAAAUGCCAUAAUGCACAGUAGUAAUAUAUUUAUUGUAACAUAAUUCUGGAUAGAAAAAGAUAUAAGUAUGCCAUUUACAAAAAAACAAACACAACUCAAGUUUUGAAAAUAACAUCCUCUAAAUAGCAUCUCUUCCUGGGGUAACAUUUUUGCAUUUGGAAAUAGAUGGACGUUUCAGCAAACAUUCGUUGAUUGUCAACAUUGUAUCCUUCAAUACAUGGAACACCUGGAGCUUAUAUGAAUGCAGUUUUAAAUCUUUGUGGAGUAUUCCACCCAAACUCUGAUAUGAUAAUCCUAAUGACAUGGAAUGUCAUCAUGCAGAAUGUUGCAGACUUUGCUCAAUUGUGGCAUUUAUUACUUGGAUAAUUUCUGGAGUUUAAACCAUUUUUCUUGGUCCUGUAUCUUUCAAGUUCAAUGUUGAACCAUUGCUUCAAAUCUUUCCACCCAUUUCUUCACAGUGUAGGCUGACAGAAUCAUAUCAUGAUGGCGCAAUUGAAAAUGACACUGAAAUUCAUUCCGUGCAGCUUGACAUCAAUCACUAUUUUUGUAAAUGUUUUCACCAUGAAAGCGAGCUGCUCCCAUGACCACUGCUCCAUAGCAAUUGAAAUGAUAUUGUCUAUGCUACGUUCUCUUGGUCUCACAGUGUUGCCAAAUUUAAUAAUGACCUUGUACUAUGUGAUUCAAAAUCUCCCAUUCCUGUGUAC
rnacentral:lncRNA from 1 species